GAGAUUCCACUGCCACCCUCACAUUUCAGGUAAGGAAACUGAGCCAUAAAGAAGCGAGAGACCUUGUCCAUGGUCACACAACUGUCUAACAGAGAACCUUCUUUUUACCAGGGCUCUGAAAGCUUCAUGAGCUUGUCCGUUACCUGGAGUCUUGUCAAAAUGCACAUUGCUACUCUAUGCGGUGUCCAACACUGCUGUGUGUAUGUGUGUGUGUGUGUGUGUUUUGCUGGAAAUCAAACCCAAGCCCUUGCACUUGCUGGGCGGGCAUAUUACCACUGAUUUCAUGCCCAUCCUUCAUUGUUUUCAGUAAGUACACAUGUGCUGCUGCCGCCGUCUGUCCACAACACCACAGGCAAUGUGGCACCAUAUCUUAUUUGUCACCUCUUCUUAGCAGCCAUUUUCUGACUCCCUUUGUCAUGAGCUAUAAGAGCCAUUUCCUGACUCUGUUUUAAAUAGUUCUGUUAACCACAGGAGUCACCUUCUUGGGAGACAAAGGGAAAUUCCAUCUGCCUAGAUGUUUUGGCCUGUCUUUGGGUAAAGAACUGAGUCCAAGUGAAGAGAACGCAGUUACAGAGUUAGUUGCUGGUCACGGGCUGGCUUAUUUACAGGAGUUACAUCAACUGGGUGAUGACCACUAGUGGAAGCUCCUGUCUGCCCCUAUAGCACUGAAGUCAGAGGUCAAAUCAGACCUAGGUAUUUAGGAGAAAGUGCCCAGCCUCAGGCCUUCUGCUGUGGUCCAUCGAUGAACAUGCUUCUGAAAUUCCCAAGCACAGAUGUCUGGAAUUCUUUUUGUCAGCACCUUCCAAAAGCUGAGCAAAUAACAGCGUAUAGAAAGGUGUAGGAGAGGAAAGGUUCAUGACAAGAACAGGUUACUAUGUUUAUUGGCAAGUAUUUUAUUUUAAGAUUCAAUCAUUUUAUCCCAACUCCCGGUCUCAGUGUAACUGCCCAAGGAAAAAGGAAAACACAUUCAUUCAAUGCCUUCUAAUCUCACUGCGUUUCCAGCAAAGUAUAUUGAUGAGACAUCAUUCCUUAGAUAAUUCUGAAGGCAAACAUAUUUUGGGAAUAUUAAAAAAUGUCAAAUACAAAAAUCCAGACUAACUUUUUGUUUUGUUUUCUACUGACUUGGCAAAAGUUAAGCCACAGCUCUUCUGUCUCAGCCUAGAUAGCUGGGAGUUUAGACAGGAAGUGGAACCUCUGGUGAGAGCCCCUGAUUCUUUUCAAGCAGACAGGUCUAGGCCCCUUGUUCUAGGGCAAAACAAUUACAACCUCAGGGUUCUAUUAUAUACAAAUUAUAGCUCUCCAACAGCUUGGGUUUUCUCUUGGGAAAACCUUAGGAGGUUCAUCUCCUGGAGCAUUGGAAAUUCUGGUCUGGGGUGAGUUAGAGGUGUGAAGGAAGGGAUGAUAAUGAAGUAUUAAGGUUUUUGGGUUUUUUCACUUCUCCAUCCCUUCCUGUCCUUGAGGCUUCCAUACAGCCCAGAACAGCACAUCACCAGUUAGCCAGCCAUCACUAACCACCUAUCUUUAGGCUUUCCCUGUCUUACCCCAGUAAAUUUAGAGGAGGAAAAAAAGAAUUUUUCAUUCAUUCCACAACCAUCUUUUGUUUUGUAACCCUAGCAAAGUCAACAAUCACUAUGUGGGUAGCCCUGGGUAGCCUUGAACUUUUGGCAAACCUCACAUUUUAAAAGUUUCUAUUAUAAAUAACAUAUUAGGCUACUUGCUGCAGAAUAAGAUAAGUGAUCACUGUAUUCAAGACAAAAAGACCGCCAUGUAAAGAGAGGCAACGAUCUGGGUGAUAAACUUUGAGGCCGAGGAAUGCUCAAGAUUACAGUGAUGCUGCAGCCACAGGGGAAACUUGCCGGGCAGAUGUCUUUUGUGGAGUUUGUAAGGGACCGGCCAUGCCCUGUCCAGCUGAUGAGGUCUGUACUCUGAGUGCCCUCUGCUUGUACCAUUGAUCUGUCCUUCAUUUGUACUGCCUUGCAGGUUUCAAUCAGGGGCAGAGUCAUGGGGAUCGAGUCUUGCCUUUCUCAGCAAGGGAUGACCUACCUAGAGGAUCAUUUCUUACAACAUCUAAGGCUGGUAUCUACCCACGGGGGCCUCGGGAUAGGACACACUGAAUCACUUGGAAGCAGUUCCUUAGGGACCUCUGGGAAUACCGGUGGGUGAUGAAGAACCCUUGAGUCUAUCCCCUGUAUCUACACUCUCAUAGAGAAGAAGGGUGGAAAAUACUCAAGAAACAACCAGGAAACAUAAUUUCAAUUUGACAUAAUGACAUCAGCAUUCCUGCUCUCAGAUGGGCAUUCAGGCAUGUACACAUGGACUCAUUCUGGGCUUUACUGACAGCAGAUCCAUGGAGUCGGGGGAAGAAGGUGAACUUAGAUAGUCUCCAGAGACGACAGAACGAGACACAUGCCAGCAUGUGUUUGUCACAAAAGAGUUCAGCUAAGAACUUGUUUCCAAGCCAGUCUUUACUGAAUUUUUGCAAUGUCUGCUUAUUUGGAAGCACAGUGUAAGUCCAUGUCUGAGCCUGUAGAGCCCCAUCUCCCCAUACUGCUUGUGAUAGCUGGAGUCCCAGGUUCUACUAUGGACAACUCAGGCCGCCAGGAAUCAUCCACCACUGUCUUCUGCCCUGUGGAUAGUCUGGGCCAAGAUGACUACUGAGGCUCCCAAGGCUCUGAUUUACAGGUCCAUUUGUGAAGGUUUUUUAUGAGAAGGAAUAUAGAUGGGUUUUAAUAAAACUCUUCUCUCUCUCUGUCUCUGUCUCUCUUGGUCACUCUCCCUCUGUCCCUUUUCUUUCUGUCUCUGUCUUUGUCCCUUUCUCUCUGGAAUGGCUCUGCAACACUAUGACUUUAAACAUGCAUCUCAUUCUUCUAACUGUGCCUCUUGGUGAAGUCAAAAUGAGGCCCCUGAGAAACAAAAGCAACCUAACCUCAGAUAAAGACAACCUGGGCUUCUCAUGGACAAAAUGAAGUGAAAGGGCGUGGUGAGGAUUGCUUGGUCUUGGCCAUCGAAUUUUAGAAGUACAGAUGAAAAGAAGCUGGUGUAGUUUGUCCUGAAUGCCAUCUCCACUUUGGUGUGGAGUUUGUGAAGACAGACGGAAUGGUUCUAAGGAGGUAACAGCUUGGCCGCACCCAAGGCUUUCUGCCAGGACAUUCUGCCUCAACACAGACCCAAAACAUCAAAACCAAUUGACCAUGUUCAUCCAGAGCUUCACCUUAAAUGAGAGUCUCCUCUUUGUAAGUUGACUACCUCAGAAAUUUUUAUAGUAAUGCAAAGUCAAUGAAUAUAGCUCUGUAAUGUUUAAAAGAAAAUUAUACCUGCAAUAAAUGAUCUGAAAAUGAACUUAAAACAAUAGCACUUAAACAGUAUCAUCAAGAAAAAGAAUUAAUUAAGAACACAUUUAACAGAGGAAGCCUAAGGCUCACACUCUGAAAACUAUAAAACACUGUUGAAGGCAAUUAGAGAAGACCUAGAGAAAUGAGAAACAGCCCAUGUUGGGCUUGAGAGAUGGCUCAGUGGUUAAGAGCACAGGCUGCUCUUACAGAGAGGAUCUGGGUUCAAUUUCCUGCACCCACAAGUCCCAGGAAAUUUGAAACCCUCUUCUGUCCUUUGAAGGCAUGUAUGUACAUGAUGCAUAGACAUACAUGUAAGCAAAACAUAAGUUCUUGUUCUUUUAAAGAAAAAUAAAUCGGGGUUUUUGUUUGUUUGUUUGUUUUGUAAAGCCUGUAUUCAUCACAAUACUUCCUAAACUGACUGACACAAUUCCUUCCAAAUCCCACCAGGUUUCUUUGCAGAAACUGACAGUUGGAGCCUAGAAUUCACACAGAAACCUAAAGGAGCUCAAAUAGUCUAAACAAUCUUGAAAACCCAGAACAAGGUUGGUUUCUGGUUCAAUUUAUGGUUGCAUUAGGAGUUAUUAGAGAUUAUUCUCUAGUGGUGAGGGUUAAUUUGGAAGGCUAUAUCAGUAUUGGAGGUAAAUUUGUCAACUUAUGAAAGACAAUUUCAUAUUUCUUGAUAUCAAAACUUAGUAAUAAAAGUAAUCACAGAGGAGGCAUAAGGACAGAAAAAUCUUUACCCAAAGAAAUAGAAUGGGGAGUCUAACAGCAAACCUUCACAUUUCCUGUUCAUUCAUUUCGACGUGAGUGUCCUGACAAUCUAAUGGAGAAAAGGAUAGACUUUUGAAAUAGUCCUUGGAGCAUUGGAUGGAUGCAUAUAAGAGAAUUAAGCAAGAGUUCUACAUCACAUUUCACCCAAAACAUAAGCUAAAAAUGGUUCAAAGACAAAUUCUCCAGUUGAAAAUGGCAAAGGAUCAGAAUAGAGCUCCUGCCACACACACCCAAGGAACACAUACAAAUAGCCAAUGAACACACAAACUAUUCCUAACAUCAUUAGCUUUCAAGGGAAUGCACUUCAGAACUGCAGCAAGAGGCUGGCGGGUGGCUCGGGUGGGAAAGCACAUAUGGUGCAAGCAUGGGCCCUGAGUUUAGAUCUCCAGCACCAACAUAACAGCCAGGCGUGGUGGUGCACGUCCAUGACCCCAGGGCUGGAGUGGCAGAAACAGGGGCAGACAGUGUAGCCAAUUGAUUCAGUGAGAGACCCUGUCUAAAAAUAAGGUGCAAAGCAAUCAAGGAAGAUGCCUGACCUUGAUCUCUGACCUCCACAUGCAUCCAUACACAAGUACGCACACGCACAUGAACAUGUACAGACACAAGCAGCACAGUGAGAUACUACUUCACAUCCACUAGGGCGACUGUGGUAGCAAUAACACAAAUGAGCCGAUAACAAAGGCUGAUGAGGACGCAGAGCGGUUAGACCUUCCAUACUUUGCUGGUGGGGAUCUCAUGCAGCUCUUUGGAAAAGCAGCCCUGUAGCUCCUCAAAGUGUCCUGCUCACUGUUCAUCCCAGCCAUUUCACUUCCAUGACACAGCCAGGAGGAAAGAAGCUGGGAACCCACCUAAAAGCCCAUUCUGAGCUGAAAGCAGAGGCAACCCAAGUCGGCUGAUGUUAGAGAAACUGAAAUAAAAUACUGUUUGGCAAUGAAAAAUGAAGAGUUCAUACGUGUCACUCUAUGCACUCUGGAAACAUGUAAAUCCGUGUGCUGUUUGAUUCUGUUUAUAUGAACUGUUUAGAGGAGAGUAAAUGUAUAAUGAAAGAGCGAAUCAGUGGCUGCCUAGGAUGAGUGAUGUUGAGGAGAAAUGGGAAGUGACUGCUAACUGCUGUAGGUUUCCUCUUAGCGGUGACUGGACAGGUCUGUAAGUAUACUAGAAACCACUGAAUUCUGUGUACACUUUAAAUAGGUGAAUCAUGCAACGUGUGAAAUACAUCUCAAUAAAGCAUUUUAAAUCCUUAUAAUACAGUUCCUGCCCUCAGGGGCCCUCCACAGUAACUAGAAUUUUAUUGUUAUUGUUCUUCAUCUUUAAUGGCUGUUCCUUUUUGAAAAUGUAUUUAUUUUUCCAUUGGCCACUGGAGUAUAGUGCUUGGGGUGAAAGUUGCAAGAAAAACAUAGGAGCCGCAAAAACAAGCCCAGAGAAUGGGGCAGAGGGCCACUGAAGUAGGUCUGCCUUGAGAUGGCCAUUGGGAAGCAGCUCAUUCUUGGGUGGUUUUGGCAAAAGUGCUGUCUUCAAGGGUUCAACUCAAAUGUUCUCAUUGAUUUCUGCUCCUGGUGGUGUCUGGGACUGACUACUCCUCUGAAUCCCUGACAUUAAAAAGGUAAAAUACUAACCUUCUGCCUGAAAAAGCUUGAGGCUCAAGGAAUGCCAUUGAGAAGUCGCUUCCAUCUGGACAGUAGAAAGGAGGCAAAGAGUUGGAAAAAGACUAAGGAAGUCUGAAUGGAACUUAGACUCAACCUGAAUCCAUGUGCUCGGGGAAGGAAUUGAGCCCCCCCCCAUGAUGGUUGUGAGCCUAAUCCUGGCUCCUUUUCUUCCUCCAGACUCUAGACUUGAGAGACCUGUUGCAUCCAUUUGUUCUGAACAGCCAGGUUGAUGGGAUCCUUUCUUAACAGAACAGAUAUGCAAGAAGCAGAGAGCUCUGCAAAACAAAUGAAAGAAUGGGAUACAAGAAUUAGCUCUGCUGCUACAUAGAUGGCUCAGUGAGGAUGGUUCUUGCUGCCAAGAUCCCACAUGGUGGAAGGAGAGAAAGGAUUCCCACAAGUUGCCCUCUGAGCAACACACAUACACACCGUAAUGUGUGUGCCCAUAUACACACCAUAAUGUGUGUGCCCAUGUACACACUAUAAAUAAAUGUCAUUUUUUUAGUG